rnacentral:rRNA from 1 species
GGAGGGGGCGAGCGUUAUUCGGAAUUAUUGGGCGUAAAGGGCAGGUAGGCGGCUUUGUGUGUCCUCUGUGAAAGCCCUCGGCUCAACCGAGGAAUUGCAGGGGAAACUGCAGAGCUUGAGUCCGGGAGAGGCUAGUGGAAUUCCCAGUGUAGCGGUGAAAUGCGUAGAUAUUGGGAGGAACACCAGUGGCGAAGGCGGCUAGCUGGACCGGUACUGACGCUGAUCUGCGAAAGCUAAGGGAGCAAACGGGGGAUUAGAUACCCCGGUAGUCCUGGCUGUAAACGCUGAGCACUUGGUGUGGCGGGUAUCGACCCCUGCCGUGCCGGAGCUAACGCAUUAAGUGCUCCGCCUGGGAGUACGGUCGCAAGGCUG